UGGGGAAUUUUGGACAAUGGGCGAAAGCCUGAUCCAGCAAUGCCGCGUGUGUGAAGAAGGCCUUCGGGUUGUAAAGCACUUUUGUCCGGAAAGAAAUCCUUGGCUCUAAUACAGUCGGGGGAUGACGGUACUGGAAGAAUAAGCACCGGCUAACUACGUGCCAGCAGCCGCGGUAAUACGUAGGGUGCAAGCGUUAAUCGGAAUUACUGGGCGUAAAGCGUGCGCAGGCGGUUUGCUAAGACCGAUGUGAAAUCCCCGGGCUCAACCUGGGAACUGCAUUGGUGACUGGCAGGCUAGAGUAUGGCAGAGGGGGGUAGAAUUCCACGUGUAGCAGUGAAAUGCGUAGAGAUGUGGAGGAAUACCGAUGGCGAAGGCAGCCCCCUGGGCCAAUACUGACGCUCAUGCACGAAAGCGUGGGGGAGCAAACAGGAUUAGAUACCCUGGUAGUCCACGCCCUAAACGAUGUCAACUAGUUGUUGGGGAUUCAUUUCCUUAGUAACGUAGCUAACGCGUGAAGUUGACCGCCUGGGGAGUACGGCCGCAAGAUUAAAACUCAAAUGAAUUGACGGGGUCAUAGCUGUUUCC
rnacentral:rRNA from 1 species